UACGUAGGGUGCGAGCGUUAAUCGGAAUUACUGGGCGUAAAGCGUGCGCAGGCGGUUAUGCAAGACAGACGUGAAAUCCCUCAGCUUAACUGGGGAACUGCGUCUGAUACUGGAUGGCUUGAGUUUGGGAGAGGGAUGCGGAAUUCCAGGUGUAGCGGUGAAAUGCGUAGAUAUCUGGAGGAACACCGGUGGCGAAGGCGGCAUCCUGGACCAAUACUGACACUGAGGAGCGAAAGCCAGGGGAGCAGACGGG
rnacentral:rRNA from 1 species